GAACAAGAAAAGGCUCUGAAACAGAUCCAAGAUGUUGUUUGAGCCAUGCAACUAGAAGAUCUCAUAGAACUAAAGUUAUCUAAUUUACAGAAAAGGUUUUACGUGACGUCUAUUGUACAGAUUCAUAUGAAAACCAUAGUUCAAACUCCAAGGUUUAAGAAGUAAGAAAGAUCAUGCCAUUUGCAACAAACAUGCAUGCAUAUUUGAAAAGCAACUGUAAGUAUGCUAUUGGACAUUGGUAAAGAUUGAAUAUCUGACCAUGGCAUAUCAAGAAACCAUGGAAUGAGUACUGCUUAUCAAGAUCUGGGUGUGAGAAGACUUAAAAAGUCAGAUAGUCAGUGAGAACCAGCUAGAAUCCAUGAUCUGUUGUGGGAAAACUAGAAGACCAAAAAAAGCACGAAAGUCAAGAAAGAAGUCUCUUUUCACAUGAAAGUGGCUGUGCUAAUGGUCUAUCAAGAUAUCCUGAGUUUCCAGUAGAGAUGUUUCAGCCAUAACACAGGCCUGGUAGAAAAAGCCUGAAGACAAAUACUGCUAUGAAUGGUUACAUCUAGGACUUCUGAAAUUAGCCCCAGAUUCAACUCAUUUUUUUCUGCAUUUGCUGAGCAAUAUGACAUGUUUACACCGAUUAGCUAAAAAGUUAUGUGAAGAAUGGGCAACAAUAUCUCUAAGGCAAGAUAUGUUCAGAUCCAAUAUAGUUCAUAUAGACCUUGUCAGAGUAAAUGACCAUGUGCCUUUCAG
rnacentral:lncRNA from 10 species